rnacentral:lncRNA from 1 species
CAUUUACCCUCCGAGCGGUUUCGCUAAUUGCGAUUCAUCUUCCUGGAACGGGACUGCAAGUAGCCUGAGGUAACUAUCUGCACGAGGGAAAAAAAAAAAAAAGAAACACGAAUCUGAUCCUUUUUUUCACCGUAUCUGACAGCAAAUCUGGGCUGCACGGAGCUGUGCAUUGAGUGCUGGGCGUUACGUUGAGCAGGGUGGUGGGACGGUGUGAUGGUGUGAUGGGCUCUCAAGGAGGGAGCGAAGGGAGGAAGAAGUGAGCCCAGUGAUGUAAAGAGAGGCAGGGAGUGCCUGCACCUGGGCUGAGGAAAGGACGCCAGGACCUCGUGCGCUGCGCAGGAGCAACCCCAAACCCCACAGCCACAAACGGGAGAUAAGCCGGGAAGUUCCUGCAGAACGAACAACUUUUUCCUUUUUUUUUUUUUUUUUUUUUCUUUUCUUUUUUUUUUUUUUCCCCCUCAUUUAACGGGAGCUUGGCACGGGAGGGAGCAGCCAAAAGAGGGCGGACCUCCGCUCCGCUCCCCUCAGACCCACCGAGGCCGGCGCCCCGAGGCGGGGGGAUGCGGCGCGGGGCCGGGGCGGGCGGCCGGACACCGCGAUGAGGGGCGCCGGGGGCUGCUGGAAGCGGCUGCGGCUCCGGGGCCGGCGGCGGAGCUCGGCCGCCUUUCUCCUGGCUUGGGCCGCCUGCUGGCUGGGGCUCAGCGCCUCUCUCCUCGCCCUCCUCCGCCGGGGAGCCUUCCCCGGGCGCUGCACGGACGAGAGCGGCCGCAGCAUCCUGGCCAGGCUGGUUUGGAGAGGAUUAGGCACGGCUGCAGAAGCUCAGGCAGAGCCAGAUUUCAGGCACCAGUUUGGGAAGUUGUCUUCAUCCAUGUGUGGCAAGCAUGGUCUGGAGGUUGUCUUCAGAAGGUCCUUCCAGAGGAAUGGUAGCUGAGAGCACCACGUCCGUCUGCUUGCUUCGGUGAGUCUUGGACAGUAGCACCAAGGGCUGUAACCAGCAGGCUUCCCGAAUAGCGUUAGAAAGGCACUGUCCUAGUGGAACAAGGAAAAAACGAGCUUGUAUUCAUCAGCCCAGAAGUAGGUCUUUGUACACCUUUGCAACACUGCGUGAGUUUCACAGCUCCUCAAAGUGCAGGUGGUCGCAAAACAACCGGGUGGCUUCAGCCUCACAUCUUUCACAAAGCAAAGUCAACUUCCAAGGAAAACUAUUUUGCCGGUCAUCUGUAAUGCAUUCAGCAGGAGAGAAGAUGAGGAAUCAUUUUAAACAAGUGGGUGACGAUUGCAUGGCUAUAUUCUCCUUCAGGUGGUAUUUCUGAGGGUUUCUUUCCCUCUCGUAAGUAACACGUAGCUCUGUGUAGCUGUGCACUGCUGUGGGAAGGGCAGAGCAGCACCGUGUGUCUGACAGAGACAGCUUUCAGCUCUCUGAAGGACCGCUUGCUGUUUCUUAACAUCACUCCCACCUUCGUUUAUGCUGAACAAACUAAAUCACAUAGUGAUCAGUUUUGAUUUUCUCUGGAGAGUUUCACUAAUUUUGCUGCCUCCCCAAAGCUUGAUUAGCAUAGCAUUUACAUAGAAGAAGUACUUGAUUACAAGACAGGACUCAUUCUCAGGCCUGAUUUACACACAAAGUGGCAGUGGUGCAGCAAAUUAUUUAAAUUGAUAUAAAUUCUAGGCAGAGUUUACAUUAAUUUAAUUUUUUACAUGAAUUUAAACCCAUCUUUUUAAGCUUAUCUUGGUAAGUGAACUAAGGAUAUGAAAAAUUAUGUGGCCAAUUAAACAGAAACAGAUGAGUGAGUCCAAGCCUCACUUAUGUUGUGUUUCUGUGUCUGUCUCAUCAACAGAUCGCAAAGUGCAGCCAUUAAGAUAGAGGUGUCAGUGUGACAGACCAUUUCUAGAAGAUUUCCUUGAACUUCAAUUCUCCUGUUUAUCAGCAGUCAUCACGGUGCUAUAAAAUCUUGUAUGGUGAAGGCUGCAGUUAGUGCAAAGUGUCCUGGGUUAGCAAAUUACAAAGAGAGCAUCUUUUUGUUGCAGUGUAAUCUGACUCACCUGGAUAAAGUUUUCAGCCCACAAAAAUGCGCUUUAAUAAAGUAAAUUACAAGCUAAUAGACUGGGGAGCAAAACAGUGCAACCUAUGCCAGUAGGAUGGAAGACUGUCCUGUGAAACUGCAUGACUUUGGAAAGGAUGUGGGGGUUAAAUAAUUGCUUCAGCAUGAGCUACCAGUGCAGACCGUGCCUAAAAGGCUGAUACGAGCUCUGACUGUAUCCCAAAUGGAGAAUGAGGGAAGGGCUGCUGCCUGUCUUUGCAGCACUGGACUGUGGCACUCAGUUCUGAAGUCUGUGCUUCUAGAGACCUAUGGGGGAAAUCAGAGAGAGAAAUGGGGAGAGAAUAAGAAUACAAAAAUGAUGUAGGGGCUGAAAAAAGUAACCGUCAUAGUGAGAGGCUGAUGAGCUAAGCUUACUCAGUGUUUCAUGCAUAUGGAAAAACAUAAACCACUUGAAGCUGGAAUAAGGUGGACUGAAGUACAGAGGAUAUAAAGUUGGAGUCAGUCUUUGCUGGCCUUUGAGACUGUAAUGAACAGGAAAAUGAGGACAUUUUUGAAAUCAUAGAGUGAAUUGUAACUCACUGUAUUCUGUGAGUAGAGAAACUCUUGAAAGUUGUUCAAACUGCUCUGCUGCUUUUUGAUUAGUUCAGAAAUCUUUCUGAGAUUCUUGCUUGCAUUGGUGACCAAUGGAGAAUGUUAUUUCUUUAGGGACAAUCUGUAUUUCAUCACCGUGAGAGUAGGAACUCCUUGGGCAAUUUAUGUUUGCAAAACACUGCCCAGGUUCAGUGCAAGAGGGAUCACAUUCAGAGACUGUUUGUCAGAUACUGGUUGAAAUGGAACAGGAGACAAGUCCCAAAUGGCAGCCAGUUCAAAAAAUGACUCAGCUCCUAUGCCUGGGACAUGUGAGACUGUUUUUUCCAUGACUUUUUCUCAUUAAUGCCAUUAAUAAUGACAUGAUGGCAACACAAGAAAACAGGCUGCACAUUCACAUGCUUGACUGCAGGUCUUCUGGGCACGGGUUCUACUAGAUGUACAAGCCUAUGGGCCCUCCAGGAGUGAAUGUGGUCGAUAAAGGACCACAGUAAGACCGUCCACAGGGGCAAGGGUUCACCCAUGUGGACCCAAUUACAGGAGUGAGCCCUGAUUCUCUUAAUGUAGCGGAACAAGAAUUAGGUUGUGGUUUUCUCAGUAGGAGAGCAAGGAUUUUAAGUGUAAUUAUAUUUAAGCUCCAAAACAAAAUGAAAAAAAAAAUCCUUCUGCUUGUUAUCUUUUCUAAAAUUGCCUAGCGUUCCAGGCAGCAAGAGUUGCUAAACUACUUCCACAGAGAAAAUCACAUUUCCUACUUAAAAAGGUAGAAUACAUUUGUAUUGCAUUCAUAGGAGUGAAUUUUCAAAAGCAAGACCAUUGACCUGUGUGCUCUGAAGUCUGUGGGCAGCCCAGUGAAUGUGCUUGACCGUGCUGAUGUGGAUGUGGAUGCAGAUGCGUGCAUCACACACGUGCAACCC